rnacentral:piRNA from 1 species
UCCACAGAGCCUGAGUGCAGAACAGC